AAUAAACAUGUGCAUGUAUGUAGUUGCAGCUUCACAGGCUGUCAUCGUGGCAUUGUAAAGCUCCCAUGCUCUCCUGCAGCAGAAAUCCUGAAUUUGCCCUGCCAGAUCUGCUUGAUGUGGAAUGUAGAGCUCUGGAGCAGCAGAUCACCUGAGAAUAAAUGCAAGCACC